rnacentral:rRNA from 1 species
AGCGAACGCUGGCGGCAGGCCUAACACAUGCAAGUCGAACGAAGUCUUCGGACUUAGUGGCGGACGGGUGAGUAACACGUGGGAACGUACCUUUUGGUUCGGAACAACUCAGGGAAACUUGAGCUAAUACCGGAUGAGCCCUUAGGGGGAAAGAUUUAUCGCCAUUAGAGCGGCCCGCGUUGGAUUAGGUAGUUGGUGGGGUAAAGGCCCACCAAGCCUACGAUCCAUAGCUGGUCUGAGAGGAUGAUCAGCCACACUGGGACUGAGACACGGCCCAGUCUCCUACGGGAGGCAGCAGUGGGGAAUCUUGCGCAAUGGUCGAAAGACUGACGCAGCCAUGCCGCGUGAAUGAUGAAGGUCUUAGGAUUGUAAAAUUCUUUUACCAGGGACGAUAAUGACGGUACCUGGAGAAAAAGCCCCGGCUAACUUCGUGCCAGCCGCCGCCGUAAUAC